rnacentral:rRNA from 1 species
CAGUCGCCACGGUAAUACAGAGGGUGCGAGCGUUAAUCGGAUUUACUGGGCGUAAAGCGUGCGUAGGCGGCUUUUUAAGUCGGAUGUGAAAUCCCCGAGCUUAACUUGGGAAUUGCAUUCGAUACUGGGAAGCUAGAGUAUGGGAGAGGAUGGUAGAAUUCCAGGUGUAGCGGUGAAAUGCGUAGAGAUCUGGAGGAAUACCGAUGGCGAAGGCAGCCAUCUGGCCUAAUACUGACGCUGAGGUACGAAAGCAUGGGGAGCAAACAGGAUUAGAUACCCCCGUAGUCCCUGUCUCUUAUAC